rnacentral:rRNA from 1 species
UUUGGUUUGCUUGCAAACCAAAGCUGGCGACCGGCGCACGGGUGAGUAACACGUAUCCAACCUGCCUCAUACUCGGGGAUAGCCUUUCGAAAGAAAGAUUAAUAUCCGAUAGCAUAUAUUUCCCGCAUGGGUUUUAUAUUAAAGAAAUUCGAUAUGAGAUGGGGAUGCGUUCCAUUAGUUUGUUGGCGGGGUAACGGCCCACCAAGACUACGAUGGAUAGGGGUUCUGAGAGGAAGGUCCCCCACAUUGGAACUGAGACACGGUCCAAACUCCUACGGGAGGCAGCAGUGAGGAAUAUUGGUCAAUGGACGCGAGUCUGAACCAGCCAAGUAGCGUGAAGGAUGACUGCCCUAUGGGUUGUAAACUUCUUUUAUAUGGGAAUAAAGUGGUCCACGUGUGGAUUUUUGUAUGUACCAUAUGAAUAAGGAUCGGCUAACUCCGUGCCAGCAGCCGCGGUAAUACGGAGGAUCCGAGCGUUAUCCGGAUUUAUUGGGUUUAAAGGGAGCGUAGGCGGAUUGUUAAGUCAGUUGUGAAAGUUUGCGGCUCAACCGUAAAAUUGCAGUUGAUACUGGCAGUCUUGAGUGCAGUAGAGGUGGGCGGAAUUCGUGGUGUAGCGGUGAAAUGCUUAGAUAUCACGAAGAACUCCGAUUGCGAAGGCAGCUCACUGGAGUGUAACUGACGCUGAUGCUCGAAAGUGUGGGUAUCA